UUCUCUACACCCUCCCGGGGCGCGGUCGGGUCGUGGCCGUCGGCGCCCUGGGUAGGCGCCGACUUGCACCCGCGGCGACACAAAAAGUGGGAGGCGCGUACCACCCAGCGACUGGUAGAGCGCCCCGUCUCGUUGUGUCUGCCGUCUCUGCAGGAGCCAUGCAGUGUCUGGGGGACCGAUGGGAAUAGUGUGCGAGACGAAGAGGAAUA
ensembl:ncRNA Y39A1A.28 ncRNA